AGCAGCCGCGGUAAUUCCAGCUCCAAUAGCGUAUAUUAAAGUUGUUGCAGUUAAAAAGCUCGUAGUUGAAUUUCGGGGUUCAUCCGUUGGUCGGGCUUUUUGGUCUGUACUGGCGUGAUGGAUUCCUACCUUCUGAAUAACCGGCAUGUCAUUAAUUUGGUGCGCCGGGGAAGCAGGACUGUUACCUUGAAAAAUUAGAGUGCUUAAAGCAGGCUAUCGCCUGAAUACAUUAGCAUGGAAUAAUGAAAUAGGACGGCAUGGUUCUAUUUUGUUGGUUUCUAGGAUCACCGUAAUGAUUAAUAGGGAUAGUUGGGGGCAUUAGUAUUCAAUUGUCAGAGGUGAAAUUCUUGGAUUUAUUGAAGACUAACUUCUGCGAAAGCAUUUGCCAAGGAUGUUUUCAUUAAUCAAGAACGAAAGUUAGGGGAUCGAAGACGAUCAGAUACCGUCGUA
rnacentral:rRNA from 1 species